rnacentral:rRNA from 1 species
AUGACCGUCGACGCCGUGCCGAAGCUGGCGCAGUGCGCCGCGGCCAAGGCCAUCGCCGAGUGGGGCCGCCCGGCCGCCGACAUCACCCACCUCGUCUUCAGCACCUACUCCGCCUGCCAGGCCCCCACCGCCGACCUCCGGCUGGCCGCGCUGCUGGGCCUCCGCCCCAUGGUGAGCCGCACCAUGCUCAGCCUCCACGGCUGCUACGGCGGCGGCAGGGCGCUGAGCCUCGCCAAGGAGCUGGCCGAGAACAACCGCGGCGCGCGCGUCCUCGUCGCCUGCUCCGAGAUGACGCUCGUCUGCUUCGGAGCGCCCGACGGCGGCAACAUCGUCGGCCACGCGCUGUUCGGGGACGGAGCGGGCGCCGUCGUCGUCGGGGCCGGCCCCUUCCUAGACGGCGAGCAGGGCCCGAUCUUCGAGAUGGUGUCCGCCACGCAGACCACAAUUCCCAGGACGGAGCACGCGCUGGGCAUGCGGGUCUCCGGGGGCGGCAUCGACUUCCACCUGGCAAUCCAGGUGCCGACGCUCGUCGGGCAGAGCGUCGAGCCGUGCCUCCUCGACGCGUUCCAUGGCAUCAUUGUGGACGACGACGAUGCUCCACCUCCAUGCUCUGGGAAUGGGAAUGGGAACGGGAGGUGGAACGACCUCUUCUGGGCGGUGCACCCAGGAGGGCGUCCGAUCCUGGACAAUAUAGACAAGGUGCUGAUGCUGGAGCCGGAGAAGCUGGCGGCCAGCCGGCAUGUGCUCCGCGAGUACGGCAACAUGAGCGGCGCCACGAUCGUGUUCGUGCUUGACGAGCUGCGCCGCGGCCGGAGCCCGCUGCCGGAGUGGGGUGCGCUGCUGGCCUUCGGACCGGGAAUCACGAUCGAGGCCAUGGUGCUCCGCUGUCCACGCUAG